CCCUUAGAUGUUCUGGGCCGCACGCGCGCUACACUGAUGCAUUCAACGAGUCUAAAACCUGCUCUGAUAGGGGUGGGUAAUCUUUUGAAUGUGCAUCGUGAUUGGGAUAGAUGAUUGCAAUUUUUCAUCUUCAACGAGGAAUUCCUAGUAAGCGCAAGUCAACAGCUUGCGUUGAUUACGUCCCUGCCCUUUGUACACACCGCCCGUCGCUACUACUGAUUGGAUGUUUAAGCGAGGUUCUCGAACUGCUAGCGACUUAGCUUCGGUGAGGUCGCAGUGUGGGAAGUGAACCUAGCUUUGGUGUCUAGAGGAAGUAAAAGUCGUAACA
rnacentral:rRNA from 1 species